rnacentral:rRNA from 1 species
UACGUAGGUGGCUAGCGUUGUCCGGAUUUACUGGGCGUAAAGAGCUCGCAGGCGGUCGUUCAAGUCGAGUGUGAAAGCCCCCGGCUCUACUGGGGAGGGUCACUCGAUACUGAUCGACUCGAAGGCAGAAGAGGGAAGCGGAAUUCCCGGUGUAGUGGUGAAAUGCGUAGAUAUCGGGAGGAACACCAGUGGCGAAGGCGGCUUUCUGGUCUGCUCUUGACGCUGAGGCGCGAAAGCUAGGGUAGCAAACGGG